rnacentral:rRNA from 1 species
GAGCUUGCUCGGUCUGAUUAGUGGCGAACGGGUGAGUAACACGUGAGCAACCUGCCCUUCACUCUGGGAUAACCUCGGGAAAUCGGGGCUAAUACCGGAUAUGAGCUCCUGUCGCAUGGCGGGUGUUGGAAAGUUUUUCGGUGAAGGAUGGGCUCGCGGCCUAUCAGUUUGUUGGUGAGGUAGUGGCUCACCAAGGCGAUGACGGGUAGCCGGCCUGAGAGGGCGACCGGCCACACUGGGACUGAGACACGGCCCAGACUCCUACGGGAGGCAGCAGUGGGGAAUAUUGCACAAUGGGCGAAAGCCUGAUGCAGCGACGCCGCGUGAGGGAUGACGGCCUUCGGGUUGUAAACCUCUUUCAGCAGGGAAGAAGCGAAAGUGACGGUACCUGCAGAAGAAGCGCCGGCUAACUACGUGCCAGCAGCCGCGGUAAUACGUAGGGCGCAAGCGUUGUCCGGAAUUAUUGGGCGUAAAGAGCUUGUAGGUGGCUUGUCGCGUCUGCCGUGAAAACCCGAGGCUCAACCUCGGGCGUGCGGUGGGUACGGGCAGGCUAGAGUGUGGUAGGGGAGACUGGAACUCCUGGUGUAGCGGUGAAAUGCGCAGAUAUCAGGAAGAACACCGAUGGCGAAGGCAGGUCUCUGGGCCAUUACUGACACUGAGAAGCGAAAGCAUGGGGAGCGAACAGGAUUAGAUACCCUGGUAGUCCAUGCCGUAAACGUUGGGCACUAGAUGUGGGGAACAUUCCACGUUUUCCGCGUCGUAGCUAACGCAUUAAGUGCCCCGCCUGGGGAGUACGGCCGCAAGGCUAAAACUCAAAGGAAUUGACGGGGGCCCGCACAAGCGGCGGAGCAUGCGGAUUAAUUCGAUGCAACGCGAAGAACCUUACCAAGGCUUGACAUGCACCGGACGACUCC